rnacentral:rRNA from 1 species
UACGUAGGGUGCAAGCGUUAAUCGGAAUUACUGGGCGUAAAGCGUGCGCAGGCGGUUUUGUAAGUCUGAUGUGAAAUCCCCGGGCUCAACCUGGGAAUUGCAUUGGAGACUGCAAGGCUAGAAUCUGGCAGAGGGGGGUAGAAUUCCACGUGUAGCAGUGAAAUGCGUAGAUAUGUGGAGGAAUACCGAUGGCGAAGGCAGCCCCCUGGGAUAACACUGACGCUCAUGCACGAAAGCGUGGGGAGCAAACAGG